GACGAACGCUGGCGGCGUGCCUAAUACAUGCAAGUAGAACGCUGAAGAGAGGAGCUUACUCUUCUUGGAUGAGUUGCGAACGGGUGAGUAACGCGUAGGUAACCUGCCUUGUAGCGGGGGAUAACUAUUGGAAACGAUAGCUAAUACCGCAUAACAAUGGAUGACACAUGUCAUUUAUUUGAAAGGGGCAAUUGCUCCACUACAAGAUGGACCUGCGUUGUAUUAGCUAGUAGGUGAGGUAAUGGCUCACCUAGGCGACGAUACAUAGCCGACCUGAGAGGGUGGUCGGCCACCCUGGGACUGAGACACGGCCCAGACUCCUGCGGGGGGCAGCAGUAGGGAAUCUUCGGCAAUGGGGGCAACCCUGACCGAGCAACGCCGCGUGAGUGAAGAAGGUUUUCGGAUCGUAAAGCUCUGUUGUAAGUCAAGAACGGGUGUGAGAGUGGAAAGUUCACACUGUGACGGUAGCUUACCAGAAAGGGACGGCUAACUACGUG
rnacentral:rRNA from 1 species